rnacentral:lncRNA from 1 species
UUCCGAAGGCCAUAUCUUCCUCGUUUCAGCUCCAAAUCGUACACGGUUUGAAGCGUUGGAUUCUUGACUUCCUGAGCUUUGAAAUGGUAUAUAGCAUGUAAAAAAAUAGGCUUCGGGAAGUGCUCCAAAAGUGCCAAAGAAGACUGCAGCUGCUGUCCUCUGUUUUCCUCCUUGCUUCUCUUUGCUUCUCUUUGGUUUUCUUUGCUUUUCUCCUUUGGAUGGCUUGUCUUAAUGAUCUAAAAAGAUGUCAAAAACACUAAAACUAGCCACAAAUAUGAUUAGGAUUCAUUGCUAGGUCCUUAACAUGCCAAUUGGAAUAAAGAUGAAGAAUUACUACACAAAAGUGCUUAAAACAUAAUGACUUAAAGGUGUA